CACGUAGGGGGCAAGCGUUGUCCGGAUUUAUUGGGCGUAAAGAGCGUGUAGGCGGCCAGACAGGUCCGUUGUGAAAACUCGAGGCUCAACCUCGAGACGUCGAUGGAAACCGUCUGGCUAGAGUCCGGAAGAGGAGAGUGGAAUUCCUGGUGUAGCGGUGAAAUGCGCAGAUAUCAGGAAGAACACCCGUGGCGAAGGCGGCUCUCUGGGUCCCUACCGACGCUGGGGUGCGAAAGCAUGGGGAGCGAACAGG
rnacentral:rRNA from 1 species